GACGAACGCUGGCGGCGUGCUUAACACAUGCAAGUCGAGCGGAAAGGCCCCUUCGGGGGUACUCGAGCGGCGAACGGGUGAGUAACACGUGAGUAAUCUGCCCUUCACUUUGGGAUAACCCCCGGAAACGGGAGCUAAUACCGGAUAUGACCACCGUCCGCAUGGGCUGGUGGUGGAAACUUUUUUGGGUGGGGGAUGUGCUCGCGGCCUAUCAGCUUGUUGGUGGGGUAAUGGCCUACCAAGGCUUUGACGGGUAGCCGGCCUGAGAGGGUGACCGGCCACACUGGGACUGAGACACGGCCCAGACUCCUACGGGAGGCAGCAGUGGGGAAUAUUGGACAAUGGGCGGAAGCCUGAUCCAGCAACGCCGCGUGAGGGAUGACGGCCUUCGGGUUGUAAACCUCUUUCAGCACCGACGAAGCGCAAGUGACGGUAGGUGCAGAAGAAGGACCGGCCAACUACGUGCCAGCCGCCGCGGUAAGAC
rnacentral:rRNA from 1 species